rnacentral:rRNA from 1 species
UACGUAGGUGGCAAGCGUUGUCCGGAUUUACUGGGCGUAAAGAGCGCGCAGGCGGUCGUAUAAGUCGAAUGUGAAAGCCCCCGGCUCAACUGGGGAGGGUCAUUCGAUACUGUUCGACUCGAAGGCAGGAGAGGGAAGUGGAAUUCCGGGUGUAGUGGUGAAAUGCGUAGAUAUCCGGAGGAACACCAGUGGCGAAGGCGGCCUCCUGGCACACUCCUGACACUCAGACGCGAAAGCUAGGGGAGCGAACGGG